AGCGAACGCUGGCGGCAGGCCUAACACAUGCAAGUCGAGCGCCCGUAGCAAUACGGGAGCGGCAGACGGGAUAGUAACACGUGGGAACGUACCCUUCAGUUCGGAGCAACCCAGGGAAACUUGGGCUAAUACCGAAUACGUCCGUAAGGAGAAAGAUUUAUCGCUGAAGGAUCGGCCCGCGUCUGAUUAGCUAGUUGGUGGGGUAAUGGCCCACCAAGGCGACGAUCAGUAGCUGGCUGAGAGGAUGAUCAGCAUCACUGGGACUGAGACACGGCCCAGACUCCUACGGGAGGCAGCAGUGGGGAAUAUUGGACAAUGGGCGCAAGCCUGAUCCAGCCAUGCCGCGUGAGUGAAG
rnacentral:rRNA from 1 species